rnacentral:rRNA from 1 species
UGGGGAAUCUUGGACAAUGGGCGCAAGCCUGAUCCAGCCAUGCCGCGUGAGUGAAGAAGGCCUUCGGGUUGUAAAGCUCUUUUGUCAGGGACGAUAAUGACGGUACCUGAAGAAUAAGCCCCGGCAAACUUCGUGCCAGCAGCCGCGGUAAUACGAAGGGGGCUAGCGUUGUUCGGAAUUACUGGGCGUAAAGCGCACGUAGGCUGAUUGUUAAGUCAGGGGUGAAAUCCCGGAGCUCAACUUCGGAACUGCCUUUGAUACUGGCAAUCUAGAGUCCGGAAGAGGUUAGUGGAAUUCCCAGUGUAGAGGUGAAAUUCGUAGAUAUUGGGAAGAACACCAGUGGCGAAGGCGGCUAACUGGUCCGGUACUGACGCUGAGGUGCGAAAGCGUGGGGAGCAAACAGGAUUAGAUACCCACGUAGUCCCUGAGCGGGCUGGCAAGGCGCAU